rnacentral:rRNA from 1 species
GUCUAUGGCCAUGCCACCCUGAACAAGCCCAAUCCCGUCUGAUCUCAGAAGCUAAGCAGAGUCGAGCCUGGUUAGUACUUGGAUGGGAGACCACCUAGGAAGAACAGGUGCUGUAGGCA